rnacentral:rRNA from 1 species
AGCAGCCGUGGUAAUUCCAGCUCCAAUAGCGUAUAUUAAAGUUGUUGCAGUUAAAAAGCUCGUAGUUGAAUUUUAGGCCUGGCCGGGCGGUCCGUCUUUGGCGAGUACUGUCUGUUGUCGGGUCUUCCUUCUGGUGAACCAAUAUGUCCUUUAUUGGGUGUGCUGGGGAGCCAGGACCAUUACCUUGAAAAAAUUAGAGUGUUUAAAGCAGGCUUUUUGCUUGAAUAGAUUAGCAUGGAAUAAUAGAAUAGGACGUUGUGGUUCUAUUUUGUUGGUUUCUAGGACCACCGUAAUGAUUAAUAGGGAUAGUUGGGGGCAUUAGUAUUCAAUUGUCAGAGGUGAAAUUCUUGGAUUUAUUGAAGACUAACUAUUGCGAAAGCAUUUGCCAAGGAUG